CAACUCGCUGCAGCUGACACGUGUGGCCGGUGACCUGUCCAAUGGUGUGGGACCAGCUGCAGACACCAAGAGCCAGGAGGAGCCGCUCAAUGGCAUAGGUGGCCACCACGUCACCCCAAUGUGAUGUCGACAGAGUACAGUGGGGACUGCUGUGAGCUGAAAGGUGCUGAUUUGUGGGUUCCCAGCCUGAGACAUUCCAGCCUUCUCUACAGAGGCUGCAACAACUUGGUCUAUUUAUUUUCUAGUUUUGUAAAAAAGGAAAAAAUUAUAAACACUCAGUAUUGCUCGGUUUGCAAUAGCUGUGCUUUUUAUUCUCAGUUCUCUUCUGUUCAGCUGAAUUGCUGCAAAUAAUGAAGCGCUCCAACUGAAGUUAACUGGUAUUGCAAUACUGCGCAGUGUAGAAACUUUCACAAAUGUAACAUUUCAGUGGCCUUAUUAAAUAUGGGCAAUUGCUUACCUGGUAAACUGUGAGCAAAAGUAUGACAAUAAUUAUUACAAUAUUGGAAAAAGUUCUGACCAGGAAAUCAAUAAUCGUGUGAUGAAGAACAAUACUACAGGACGGUGGAGGCAUUGGAUGGUGUAAAGAUGGCUGAAUAAUAUUGUUGAAUGGCAUAGAAAAGAUGCCUCCAAAAUAAAACUAGUUGCCUAUAAAAGGUCACAGUUACAAACCA
rnacentral:misc_RNA from 1 species